AACGCGAAGAACCUUACCCAGGCUUGAACAGCGAGUGACCACUCAUGAAAGUGAGCUUCCGCAAGGACACUCGUAGAGGUGCUGCAUGGCUGUCGUCAGCUCGUGUCGUGAGAUGUUGGGUUAAGUCCCGCAACGAGCGCAACCCUUGUUUGCUGUUGCCAUCAGGUUAUGCUGGGCACUCUGCAAAGACCGCCGGUGAUAAACCGGAGGAAGGUGGGGAUGACGUCAAGUCAGCAUGGCCUUUAUGUCUGGGGCUACACACGUGCUACAAUGGCCGGUACAAACCGUCGCGAGCCCGCGAGGGGGAGCUAAUCGGAGAAAGCCGGUCUCAGUUCGGAUAGCAGGCUGCAACUCGCCUGCUUGAAGUUGGAAUCGCUAGUAAUCGCGGAUCAGCACGCCGCGGUGAAUACGUUCCCGGGCCUUGUACACACCGGUAUCUC
rnacentral:rRNA from 1 species